rnacentral:hammerhead_ribozyme from 1 species
GCACUACUGACGAGUCCCAAACAGGAUGAAACAAUCGUCCAAUGC